AAUGAACGCUGGCGGCGCGCCUAAUACAUGCAAGUCGAGCGAGAAGACGUAGCAAUACGUUUGUAAAGCGGCGAACGGAUGAGGAAUACAUGGGUAACCUACCCUCGAGUGGGGAAUAACUAGCCGAAAGGUUAGCUAAUACCGCGUACGCUCCUUGGACUUCGGUUCAGGGAGGAAAGCGAUACCGUGGGUAUCGCGCUCUUGGUUGGGCUCAUGUCCUAUCAGCUUGUUGGGAGGUAACGGCUCACCAAGGCUUCGACGGGUAGCUGGCCUUAGCGGGUGGUCAGCCACACGGGGACUGAGACACGGCCCCGACUCCUACGGGAGGCAGCAGUGGGGAAUAUUGGGCAAUGGGCGAAAGCCUGACCCAGCGACGCCGCGUGGGGAUGAAGGCC
rnacentral:rRNA from 1 species